GCGGUCGUGGCGGAACGGUAGACGCACUAGCUUGAGGUGCUAGCGGGGCAACCCGUGGAAGUUCGAGUCUUCUCGACCGCACCA
rnacentral:tRNA from 1 species